GACGAACGCUGGCGGCGUGCUUAACACAUGCAAGUCGAACGGAAAGGCCUGCUUUCCCUUGUGGAUUGCGGGUACUCGAGUGGCGAACGGGUGAGUAACACGUGAGUGAUCUGCCCCCAACUUGGGUAUAAGCCUGGGAAACUGGGUCUAAUUCCCGAUAGGACUGCAGGGUGGUGCCUGUGGUGGAAAACGAUUUUCUAGUGGUUGGGGAUGAGCUCGCGGCUUAUCAGCUUGUUGGUGGGGUAAUGGCCUACCAAGGCGGCGACGGGUAGCCGGCCUGAGAGGGUGGACGGCCACAUUGGGACUGAGAUACGGCCCAGACUGCUACGGGAGGCAGCAGUGGGGAAUAUAGGACAAUGAGCGGAAGCCUGAUGCAGCGACGCCGCGUGGGGGAUGACGGCCUUCGGGUUGUAAACUCCUUUCGACCGCGAGGAAGCCACCUGGUUGGAAGGGUGGUGACGGUAGUGGUAGAAGAAGCACCGGCUAACUACGUG
rnacentral:rRNA from 1 species